rnacentral:tRNA from 1 species
GGCGAAAAGAUAUUUGAACGAUAUCGCGUCACGCUAAAAGCGUGAAGGUCGCAGGUUCGAAUCCUGCC